CACGUAGGAGGCGAGCGUUGUCCGGAAUCAUUGGGCGUAAAGAGCGCGCAGGCGGCUUGGCAAGUCGGGUGUGAAAUCCCGGGGCUCAACCCCGUGACUGCAUUCGAUACUGUCAGGCUAGAGGUAGGUAGGGGAGAUCGGAAUUCCUGGUGUAGCGGUGAAAUGCGCAGAUAUCAGGAAGAACACCCGUGGCGAAGGCGGCUCUCUGGGACGGUACUGACGCUGAGACGCGAAAGCGUGGGGAGCGAACAGG
rnacentral:rRNA from 1 species